UUAGUGGCAGACGGGUGAGUAACGCGUGGGAAGCUACCUUGUGGUAGGGGACAACAGUUGGAAACGACUGCUAAUACCCUAUGAGCCCUAUGGGGGAAAGAUUUAUCGCCAUGAGAUGUGCCCGCGUUAGAUUAGCUAGUUGGUAAGGUAAUGGCUUACCAAGGCGACGAUCUAUAGCUGGUCUGAGAGGAUGAUCAGCCACACUGGGACUGAGACACGGCCCAGACUCCUACGGGAGGCAGCAGUGGGGAAUAUUGGACAAUGGGGGCAACCCUGAUCCAGCCAUGCCGCGUGUGUGAUGACGGCCUUAGGGUUGUAAAGCACUUUCAGCAGUGAAGAUAAUGACAUUAACUGCAGAAGAAGCCCCGGCUAACUUCGUGCCAGCAGCCGCGGUAAUACGAAGGGGGCUAGCGUUGUUCGGAAUCACUGGGCGUAAAGAGUACGUAGGCGGACUGAUAAGUUAGGGGUGAAAUCCCAAGGCUCAACCUUGGAACUGCCUUUGAUACUGUCAGUCUUGAGAUCGAGAGAGGUGAGUGGAACUCCGAGUGUAGAGGUGAAAUUCGUAGAUAUUCGGAAGAACACCAGUGGCGAAGGCGGCUCACUGGCUCGAUACUGACGCUGAGGUACGAAAGCGUGGGGAGCAAACAGGAUUAGAGACCCUGGUAGUCCACGCCGUACACGAUGAAUGCUAGUUGUCAGGUAGCUUGCUAUUUGGUGAC
rnacentral:rRNA from 1 species